rnacentral:lncRNA from 1 species
CUAGGGAAAGUAAGAAAAGGGAUAGACGUUAGCCUAGGAACUCUCCGAAGGGAUAGACCCUAGGAGCUCAGAGAAAAGGAAAGGGCCUACUUAAUCUCCGAAAGGUAGCUAGAAUCGAUUCUAUUCUAAGGUGCAAGGUUUUUCUUCCUGGAGUGAGGGCUCAUCUCGUUCAGAGUAAGGAGUGAAAGACCAGUAAAGGAAGGUUGUUAACGAAGGUUAAAAUAGAACGAUAGAUAGCAGUCAAGAUAGUACUUGAGUAGGAACGAUAGAGAGUAGCUCACUGGGAAGUCUCUGUCCAAGGCGAUUUCAUAAUAAUCAUAAGCCCGCGAAAGAGACAAGAAAUAACAUAGAUAGAUGAGAUGACGUAAGCAAAGACAAAGAGGAAGCUCGCUCAGUCGAAGUCAGUUCAGUCGCUUUCGAGGAAGUAGGAAGUCGGGUUCUCAGCCUUAUUCAAAGACAGUUCGAGGGACUUUCAGCAAAGCGGUUUCGUCCGAUCAAGUCUCAAUCUGUGUCAGAGAUUUCCUUUUGUCCGGAAUAAGCUUCUACAUAGGUCCUUCCAUAAAGGGGCUUUUUCCAAUCUGUCUAGCUUUGGUGUGUUCUUUGCUUAAUUAUAAGGGGCAUCCCCCUUCUGAUAAGAUAUUUUCCGAGUGCUUGUUCUCUUUAUAUUAUUUUAUUUCGAUAACUAUAGAUUUUGAGCCAAUUAGGUAUCACCGCGUGUCCACUUUUGUCAGGCGGAAGAAAGAGGAUUCAUCCGAUUCCUUUCCAAUUCAAUGCCAGUGUCCUAAGAAAGGAAAACACACCAAAGCCAGGUCAAGUAGUUUGACCUAUCAAUCUGUUUGGAUAGGGUUUUGCAAGGCAGAGAGCCCCAAUCUGAGAAGGUUUUUAGACCAGGUAGGGGAGGUAACUCUCACUCUCAGGUGCAGUGGCGGAGCCAGAGGAUUUCAACAGGGGGGUCCGGACUAUGCAUGUAAUUUUUUUUUCGACGGCCUCUUAGUUCGUUGAUUUUUUUUUCCCAUAUUCCUAAAUCACAAAUAAUUCAACAUUCAACAAAAUCAUAAUCCUAAAUCACAAGUAAUUCAACAUUUCAAUUAGUUACUCAAAUUCAAUUGAAACAAAAAAAAUUCAAUUACAAAUUGAAACACAUUGUUGACUGUUGAACCGGUAACGGUACUAGAACGACGGAGUCUCUCUUCGGAGUUCGGACCGUAAAGGCNNNNNNNNNNNNNNNNNNNNNNNNNNNNNNNNNNNNNNNNNNNNNNNNNNNNNNNNNNNNNNNNNNNNNNNNNNNNNNNNNNNNNNNNNNNNNNNNNNNNGUUCCUAGAACGGAAAUUCUGUGGUACGCGCAUCGUUUCUUCAGUUGGUGGGGCUAGGUUAAUAGCUGAUCGAGCUCUUUGGUACGCGGCUCACCUUUUCAAUUGAGCUGUUCUUGCUACUCCUCAAAAAAUUUGGUAAGAUAAGGCGGAAGUGUAAGGUGUAAGUAAAGAGAAUAGAAGAAUAGCUUUAACACAUGCAUCUCGGACAAAGACUCACUUCAAUAGCUAAACCCCAUAUGUAUCUAUCCGUCACGAGCAAUCGAAUGAGUUUUGAGGGACUCAAGUCAGCUACGAAAGGUUAAGCGGGAUCUCUGUUUUCUAUAUCUAUUCUUUCUAAAUGUACUACUUGUGAGUCAGGGACUAGGGAAAGCAAGAAAAGGGAUAGACGUUAGCCUAGGAACUCUCCGAAGGGAUAGACCCUAGGAGCUCGGAGAAAAGGAAAGGGCCUACUUAAUCUCCGAAAGGUAGCUAGAAUCGAUUCUAUUCUAAGGUGCAAGGUUUUUCUUCCUGGAGUGAGGGCUCAUCUCGUUCAGAGUAAGGAGUGAAAGACCAGGAAAGGAAGGUUGUUAACGAAGGUUAAAAUAGAACGAUAGAUAGCAGUCAAGAUAGUACUUGAGUAGGAACGAUAGAGAGUAGCUCACCGGGAAGUCUCUGUCCAAGGCGAUUUCAUAACAAUCAUAAGCCCGCGAAAGAGACAAGAAAGAACAUAGAUAGAUGAGAUGACGUAAGCAAAGACAAAGAGGAAGCUCGCUCAGUCGAAGUCAGUUCAGUCGCUUUCGAGCAAGUAGGAAGUCGGGUUCUCAGCCUUAUUCAAAGACAGUUCGAGGGACUUUCAGCAAAGCGGUUUCGUCCGAUCAAGUCUCAAUCUGUGUCAGAGAUUUCCUUUUGUCCGGAAUAAGCUUCUACAUAGGUCCUUCCGUAAAGGGGCUUUUUCCAAUCUGUCUAGCUUCGGUGUGUUCUUUGCUUAAUUAUAAGGGGCAUCCCCCUUCUGCUAAGAGAUUUUCCCGAGUGCUUGUUCUCUUUAUAUUAUUUUCUUUCGACAACUAUAGAUUUUGAGCCAAUCAGGUAUCACCGCGUGUCCACUUUUGUCAGGCGGAAGAAAGAGGAUUCAUCCGAUUCCUUUCCAAUUCAAUGCCAGUGUCCUAAGAAAGGAAAAGCACACCAAAGCCAGGUCAAGUAGUUUGACCUAUCAAUCUGUCUGGAUAGGGUUUUGCAAGGCAGAGAGCCCCAAUCUGAGAAGGUUUUCAGACCAGGUAGGGGAGGUAACUCUCACUCUCAGGUGAAUCCUGUCCUAGGGAAGAGGAACCCCUAUCCUUGGAAGGAACUCACAAUCCUGUCUGGAAUCCACAUCCUAAUGCUCUAGAAAGGCCUUCAUGGCGGAACAACAAGGAGUCACAUAGUCUCCUUUUGAAUGAGCGCUCUAGCGCGAAACAAGCAACGGCCCAGGGUAGCAAUCAAAGCAAAGGGAAGGAGUGGAGCCAGGUUUGUGCCGUUGAGUCUUGCCUCUCGUAGGCCUGGGUCUAGUCUAGUGGUGGAAGCGGAAUGAGAAAGAGAGUCAUGAAACAGAAUCGAUUGAAGAGCUCACCCCUCUUGAUGACCGGGAAUGACCCAUCU